GAUUAAAGCCCCUUCGGGGGUGUAUACAGUGGCGAAAGGGCGAGGAAUACGUUCCUACGUACCCCGAGGUCGGGGAUAGCCCGGGGAAACCCGGAGUAAUACCCGAUGUGGUCCGUCGCAAUGCGGAUCAAAGGCUUCGGUCGCCUUGGGAGCGGGGAACGUCCUAUCAGGUUGUUGGUGAGGUAAAGGCUCACCAAGCCGAAGACGGGUAGCGGGUGUGAGAGCACGAACCGCCGCAUCGGGACUGAGACACUGCCCGGACUCCUACGGGAGGCUGCAGCAACGAAUCUUCCGCAAUGCGCGAAAGCGUGACGGAGCAAUGCCGCGUGCAGGAUGAAGCCCUUCGGGGUGUAAACUGCUGUCAGGGUUUAGCAACACAAUGAGCAGACUCAAAGGAAGGGCCGGCUAACUUCGUGCCAGCAGCCGCGGUAAUACGAAGGGCCCGAGCGUUGCGCGGAAUCACUGGGCUUAAGCGUACGUAGGCGGACAUGCAGGCAUCUUGUGAAAUCCCUCGGCUCAACCGAGGAACUGCAGGGUGAACCGCAUGUCUUGAGGUGAGUAGGGGCUGUCGGAACGAUAGGUGGAGCGGUGAAAUGCGUUGAUAUCUAUCGGAACGCCAAAGGCGAAGGCAGACAGCUGGGCUUAUUCUGACGCUGAGGUACGAAAGCGUGGGGAGCGAACGGGAUUAGAUACCCCGGUAGUCCACGCCGUAAACGAUGUGCACUAGAUCGAGGGAGUUCUGACA
rnacentral:rRNA from 1 species